CCUAACCCUAAAUCGCUCUUUCCCUGUCCGUCCUCCUGUGUGCGGCGCCGCCGCUGCGCACAGGCCACAUCUCCUCGCCCUCCUCGACAUCUCCGGCCAAGGCGCUCACUUCUCCGGCCCUCCUCCACAUCUCCUCGCCUCCACCCCAUCCACUUCCUGUCGAAGACUGCGGCAACGGAGCUCGGCGGCUGCGGCCCUUCUCCAAGACUGCAGCAUGGUGCUCGGCGGCUGCGGCAACGGAGCUGAUGGAGCGCGAGCCGACCAGUUCAACGGAGGCAGUAGCACGGGGCAGCGGCAGCAACAUGGAGGGCGUCCGCUUGACU
rnacentral:rRNA from 1 species